rnacentral:rRNA from 1 species
UACAGAGGGUGCAAGCGUUAAUCGGAAUUACUGGGCGUAAAGGGCGCGUAGGUGGUUGAAGAAGUCAGAAGUGAAAACCCUGGGCUUAACCUAGGACUUGCUUUUGAAACUAUUUGACUAGAGUUCGAGAGAGGGAAGUGGAAUUUCCGGUGUAGCGGUGAAAUGCGUAGAUAUCGGAAGGAACAUCAGUGGCGAAGGCGACUUCCUGGCUCGAUACUGACACUGAGGCGCGAAAGCGUGGGUAGCGAACAGG